rnacentral:rRNA from 1 species
UUGGAGGGCAAGUCUGGUGCCAGCAGCCGCGGUAAUUCCAGCUCCAAUAGCGUAUAUUAAAGUUGUUGCAGUUAAAAAGCUCGUAGUUGAACUUCGGGAUCAAUGGAUCGGUCAUGCCGUUGGUAUGUACUGGUCACAUUGGUUCUCACCUUCUAAGGAACCAUGAUGUCAUUCAUUUGAUGUUGUGGGGAAUUAGGACUGUUACCUUGAAAAAAUUAGAGUGUUUAAAGCAGGCUAACGCUUGAAUACAUUGGCAUGGAAUAAUGAAAUAGGACAUCGCAUUCUAUUUUGUUGGUUUCUAGGAUCGAUGUAAUGAUUAAUAGGGAUAGUUGGGGGCAUUAGUAUUCAAUUGUCAGAGGUGAAAUUCUUGGAUUUAUUGAAGACUAACUACUGCGAAAGCAUUUGCCAAGGAUGUUUUCAUUAAUCAAGAACGAAAGUUAGGGGAUCGAAGACGAUCAGAUACCGUCGUAGUCUUAACCAUAAACUAUGCCGACUAGGGAUCGGAUGAUGUUGAUUUUUUAAUGACUCAUUCGGCGCCUUACGGGAAAC